UGAUGUUAAUAUUAUAAUUGUUUUGGUACACUACAAACUACACGCAUAUAAGACUGCAAACUUAGUCAACAAAUGCAUUUCUUCUGAUGUUCUACCAACUCUAUUCCGUUGUCUCUCUCCUUGUCUUCAGGCUUCUCUGUUCACUGAGCCACAAGAGUAUUAGGUCAGUAAGUAAACAUGCAGUAGCCUUUUUAGUGUUAAAGGAACAGUCACUCACCUUUUCCUUUAAGUUAAAAGCUAAAAGUUAUUAAACUUAUUGAAGAAAGCAUAAAAAAAAAAGUGGAGCUAACCCAACAGCUAGGCUACUUGUGCCAAACAUCCAACUUGUGAAUGCAGAAGAAAACCUCGUGAAGGAAAUAAAAAAUGCUACUCCAGUGAACGCAUGAAUUUUAAGAAAGUAAAACAGCCUUAUUACUGAUACAGAAAAAGUUGUUUUUCUGAAUAGAAGAUCAAACCAGCCACAGCAUUCCUCUAAACCAAAAUCUAAUCUAGAACAAGGCCCAGACUUCAAUUUUAUGAAGGCUCAGAGAGUUGAGAAAGCUGCAAAAGAAAAGUUUGAAACCAGCAAGGGUUGCUCUGUGAACUUUAAGGAAGCCAUCUCUAGCAAAGUGCAAAGCAAAGCAACAAAUGCUGAUAAUAGAAACCGCAGCAAGUUAUCCAAAACAUUUUGCCAAGAUUGAUGAAGGUGGCUUCACUAAACAGAUUUGCACUGUUGAUAAAACAGCCUUAUAUUGGAAAAAAAGAUUUCAUCUAGAACUUUGAAAGCAAGAGAGAAGAAAUCAAAUGCUUGUCUUCAAAGCCCAUCCUGAUUUUCCUGUUAAAGAAUAAUGCAUCUGGUGGCUUUAAAUUUAAGCCAGCGCUCAUUUACUAUUCUGAAAAUCCUAGAUGGAACCCUUAAAAAUUAUACCAAAUCUACUCUGCCUAUGCUCUAUAAAUAGUACAAGGAAGCUUGGCUACAGCUCAUCUGCUUACAAUAUGAUUUACUGAAUAUAUUAAUCCCAUUGUUGAGAUUUACUGGUCUGAAAAAAAAAUAGUCUUUUCAAAAUGUUGCUACUAUGCACCUAAUCACCUAGGAGCUCUGACAGAGUUGUAUAAUGCUUUAAUGUUGUUUUCAUGCCUGCUAACAUUAUAUUAAUUCUGUGGCCAUGGAUCAAGGAGUAGUUUUGACUUUCAAGGCUUAUUAUUUUAUAAAACACAUUUGUAAGACUAUAGCCUCCAUAGGUAGUGAUUCCUCUGAUGGAUUUGGACUGGGCAAAGUAAAUUGGGAAUCUUCUAGAAAGUCUUCACCAUUUUAGAUGUCAUUAAGAAUAUUUGUGAUAAGAGGUCAAAUGUCAACAUCAAUAGGAGUUUAGAAGUGGAUUCCAACCCUCAUGAAUGACAGUGGUUCAAGACUUCAGUGGAGGAAGUAACUAGGUAUAGUAAAAAUAGCAAGAGAAUUAGAAGUGAAGCCUAAAAAAAAAAAAAAGUGGGUGAAUUGCUGCAGUCUCAUAGUAAAAUUUAACAGAUGAAAAGUUGCUGCUUAUAGAAGAGGAAAGUGGUUUCCUGAGGUGGAAUCCAGUUCUGGUGAAAAUGCUAUGAAUGUUGUUGAAAUAAAAAUGGAUUUG
rnacentral:lncRNA from 1 species